rnacentral:rRNA from 1 species
CACGUAGGGCGCAAGCGUUGUCCGGAAUUAUUGGGCGUAAAGAGCUCGUAGGCGGUCUGUUGCGUCCGCUGUGAAAACUCGGGGCUUAACCCCGAGCCUGCAGUCGAUACGGGCAGACUAGAGUGCGGUAGGGGAGACUGGAAUUCCUGGUGUAGCGGUGAAAUGCGCAGAUAUCAGGAGGAACACCGGUGGCGAAGGCGGGUCUCUGGGCCGUAACUGACGCUGAGGAGCGAAAGCGUGGGGAGCGAACAGG